rnacentral:lncRNA from 1 species
AGCUCAUUUCCCAAGGUCAUCUUGAGAACCACCUAUCAUUGUCCCUUGAUUUCAGAAGUUGCUAAAUUACAACUUCUCUCAUUCUCAAUUGCUUCAAACGUAGAAAACAGCUCCUUAUCAGGGCACACAUGCCUCGUAGCACCGGUGUCAAUUCACUACUCCUUAGGGUUUGAACCCACCAUGUUUACUUCAGAAAUGAUAGCUGAGAGAUUCAGCUCUGACACAUCUUAUGCUAUGUAGUCAACCACAUUUGCUUAUUUCUUCUUCUUUGGCAAUCCGCACUCCGAAGAGUUAUGGCCCACUUUGUCACAAUUGAAGCAUUUUCCUUGAAAUUUCUUCUUAGAAAUUCCACAUUUCAGUCCUUGCUUGGUCAUUUUGCCACCGGAUGGCUCAGACUUGUUUUUGUAGUUCUUACUAUUUUGACCAUGCUCCACAACAACUUAAGCAGCACCAGGAUUGAAUCAGUUCUUUUCAAAACUCUUGUUGUCUUCUUCAAUUCGAAAUCUAACAAUUAGUUCUUCGACGUUCAUUUCUUUUCGCUUGUGCUUCAAAUAAUUCUUGAAAUCCUUCCAUGUGGGGGGACAAUUUUUUAAUAAUUGCAGCCACUUGAACAGUUUUACUCAAAAUCAUCCCUUCAGCAUGAAUUUCAUAAAGAAUCACUUGGAGUUCUUGUACUUGACUGAUAACUGUUUUGGAGUCCACCAUUUCAUAAUCUAAGAGUCUGCCGACAAUGAACUUUUUAGCUCCGAUAUGCUCAGUUUUAUAUUUUUGGUCCAAAGACUCCCACACUUCCUUAGCAGUUUUUACAGUACUAUACACAUUAUAUAGCGUGUCUGCUAAACUGUUCAUAAUAUAGUUUCGGCACAGAAAAUUCGAGUGGUUUCAAGCAUCAAGUGCACUGAUUGCUUGAACAUUUCCCUUACUCUUAUUGAGUUUUGGAGCAGUCUCAAUCAAGAAUCUCGCAAGAUUCAAGUGGUUAGAUAAAAUAACAUUUUCUGCUGCCACCUUUUGAAACUCAAGCAAUUGAAUUUCUCCAAUUUUUCUCAAUGAUUAACCGGAACAUUAAUGGUAUGGCCAGUUGUUGGAGCCACAAUUUGACUUACAACAUGACUUGACUAUCUAGCCAUAGUCUUAGCUACAACAGAGCUUGGCCCUUGAGCCACAGCUGAACCCACAGUUUGAUUUCAAGUAGGCAUAGUUUGGGUCACAUCCAUGUUCG